rnacentral:rRNA from 1 species
GUUCGGCCCUCGGCUGACGGCUCAGUAACACGUGGAUAAUCUGCCCUUAGGCGGAGGAUAAUCUCGGGAAACUGAGGAUAAUACUCCAUAGAUCUAGGAGGCUGGAAUGCGCUUAGAUUAAAAGCUCCGGCGUCUAAGGAUGAGUCUGCGGACUAUCAGGUUGUAGUCAGGGUAAGGACCUGACUAGCCAGCGACGGAUAUGGGUUGUGGGAGCAAUAACCCAGAGACGAUAUCUGAGACACGAUAUCGGGCCCUACGGGGCGCAGCAGGCGCGAAAACUUCACAAUGUGCGAAAGCACGAUGAGGGGAUCCCAAGUGCCAGCACGUAAGUGUUGGCUGUUUCUUUGUCUAAAAAGCAAAGAGAGUAAGGGCUGGGUAAGACGGGUGCCAGCCGCCGCGGUAAUACCUGCAGCUCAAGUGGUGGCCGCUAUUAUUGGGCCUAAAACGUUCGUAGCCGGUUUAGUAAAUGCCUGGGUAAAUCGUGUAGCUUAACUAUACGAAUUCCGGGUAGACUGCUAAACUUGAGACCGGGAGAGGCUAGAGGUACUCUCGGGGUAGAGGUGAAAUUCUGUAAUCCUGGGGGGACCACCAGUGGCGAAGGCGUCUAGCUAGAACGGGUCUGAUGGUGAGGAACGAAGCCCUGGGGCACAAACCGGAUUAGAUACCCGGGUAGUCCAGGGUGUAAACGCUGCUUGCUUGAUGUUAGUUGGGCUCCGAGCCCAACUAGUGUCGGAGAGAAGUUGUUAAGCAAGCUGCCUGGGAAGUACGGUCGCAAGACUGAAACUUAA